GCUGGGUGCAGUGAUGCACGCCUGUAAUCCCAGUGGCUUGGGAGGCUGAGGCAGGAGGAUCAUGAUUCAAAGCCAGCCUCUG
rnacentral:sRNA from 1 species